rnacentral:lncRNA from 1 species
GGUUGUUAUCUUUCCUCAUGAUGGUUCUCUCACGCAUUUUUUUUUCUUUGCCAACAAUUUCAGAACAAUCUGAACCGGCAGAAGGGGCAAGACUUACCAGCAAUGGCCUUGGCGUAAGGUACUCAGGGCCUGUUUUCUUCCACUUGCUAAACUUUAGCACCCGUCACAUCGAAUGUUUAGAUACUAAUUAGGAGUAUUAAACGUAGACUAUUUACAAAACCCAUUACAUAAGACGAAUCUAACACGGCGAGCUGAAUCUAUUAAGCCUAAUCAGUCCAUGAUUUGACAAUGUGUUGCUACAGUAAAUAUUUGCUAAUGAUGGAUUAAUUAGGCUUAAUUAGGCUUAAUAGAUUCGUCUCGCCGUUUAGAUUCCACUUAUGUAAUUGGUUUUGUAAAUAGUCUACGUUUACUACUCCUAAUUAGUAUCUAAACAUUCGAUGUGACACGUGCUAAAAAUAAGACACGGGAAGAAAACGCCCCCUCAGUACGGUGAACAUAUUCAUGGGUGUUGCAGCCUGCAUCCAUCUUCAGUCUUGGAUGAUGUCUGAUUGUAAAAUAUCAUUAGUUUUUUUUUAAAUAUGGUACGACAGAAGCACUUUUGGAGCCAAAGUUUGACAACUUCAGUUCAUCUUACAAUAGAGCUGAUUUUUGUUUGUUAAUUAGCUGUUGCCGAUUGCAAGAUGCAGAUAUGUUCCUGUUGCUCUGUGUAUGUAGCAUGUUGUUGCAACAUGUGCAAUGUAAGGAUCUGUUCCUGAAGAAUGAGUGUCUCGGGGCUUUAUGUUGGCUGACAUUAUGUUCAGUGGAAUACUGGAAUCAGUGUCUAAAACACCUUACUUUUCUUUCACAAAGGGGAUACUGCACUUUGUAUAUGACCCAUCG